rnacentral:lncRNA from 1 species
CCAAAAGAGAACAGUCUGCCUGAAAGGAGGUAACAAGCCGGAGAGUGAGGAGAGCUGUGACAGCCUGCCUAAUAGAAAGAGAAUCCUGUUGUCUGCCAUUUGAAAAUACCUAACAGAAAAUAGUCAUGUGAUGCCGCUACUGCGGAAGGCAGAGUGGAACUCGGUGGAACUCAGCGGCUACAAGGAUUUCUACAGGAAGCCUCUUCUGAGUCGCGCAGGUUUUGGCUGAGAGGAUGCUGACGACCCAGAAGUCUAUGCAGUCUGCCCAAGACAGCUGCUCACCCCUCACUCAGAUGCCACCUCAAGUCUUUGUUGACUAUCCUCUGUUGUUCUCAUUGCCCUUCCAUUUCUUCAGGAAAAUAGAAACCACCAGAAGACUCCUCCUACAGAACUCCCCCCUCUGGGGACACACCCUCUCUUCUUCAUUUUUAGGGAACUGAUGUGAAGCACUUGACUUCUCACCUCACUGCUUCUCUCAGUGAAUGUGGGACCCUCUGGGCCUUGUUCCAGGCCUCCUACUAUGGUGGCUAAUCCUUAAUCUCUUUUGAUGUCUCUAUUAAAUGUUGAGGUUCUCUCUG